rnacentral:rRNA from 1 species
CAGCCGCGGUAAUUCCAGCUCCAAUAGCGUAUAUUAAAGUUGUUGCAGUUAAAAAGCUCGUAGUUGAAUUUCGGGAUCAAUAUAUCGGUCGUGCCAUCGGUACGUACUGGUAUCAUUGGUUUCUCCUUUCUGACGAACCAUGAUGUCAUUAAUUUGGUGUUAUGGGAAGUUAGGACUGUUACUUUGAAAAAAUUAGAGUGUUUAAAGCAGGCUUUAGCUUGAAUACAUUAGCAUGGAAUAAUGAAAUAGGACGUUCGAACCUAUUUUGUUGGUUUCUAGGAUCAACGUAAUGAUUAAUAGGGAUAGUUGGGGGCAUUAGUAUUCAAUUGUCAGAGGUGAAAUUCUUGGAUUUAUUGAAGACUAACUACUGCGAAAGCAUUUUGCCAAGGAUGUUUUUCAUUAAUCAAGAACGAAAAGUUAGGGGAUCGAAGACGAUCAGAUACCGUCGUAGUCUUUAACCCAUAAACUAUGCCGACUAGGGAUCGGAUGAUGUUGAUUUUUUAAUGACUUUGGCACCUUACGGGAAAC